rnacentral:rRNA from 1 species
ACUCAAAUGAAUUGACGGGGGCCCGCACAAGCGGUGGAGCAUGUGGUUCAAUUCGACGCAACGCGAAGAACCUUACCAGCUUUUGACAUGUCCUGUAUGGACCUGAGAGAUCAGGUUCUUCACUUCGGGUGGCAGGAACACAGGUGCUGCAUGGCUGUCGUCAGCUCGUGUCGUGAGAUGUUGGGUUAAGUCCCGCAACGAGCGCAACCCUCGUCCCUAGUUGCCAUCAUUCAGUUGGGCACUCUAGGGAGACUGCCGGUGAUAAGCCGCGAGGAGGGUGGGGAUGACGUCAAGUCCUCAUGGCCCUUACAGGCUGGGCUACACACGUGCUACAAUGGCGGUGACAAUGGGCAGCGAACCCGCGAGGGGGAGCUAAUCUCAAAAAGCCGUCUCAGUUCGGAUUGCACUCUGCAACUCGAGUGCAUGAAGUUGGAAUCGCUAGUAAUCGUGGAUCAGCAUGCCACGGUGAAUACGUUCCCGGGCCUUGUACACACCGCCCGU